GUCUGUUUCAGUCUCUGUUAAAGAAAGCAGCUCAUCUCUGAUCAGGGUCGCGGUGGGAAUCUCUGCAGCUGUUGUCUUGACGUCUGUGGUUCUGAUGGUUUUCAUCGGGCUCUUGAUCAGAAGGAAACGAGUGACUUCAUCAGAAGAGCUAAACCACAGAGGAUCACGACACAGUAAGACGCUGCAGGCUCCUGAGGACGCCUACAUGACCCUUGACCCCAAGUCCAGAUGUUCUGAAUACGACACACUGGAUAAUAUGAAGAGAUCCUGUGAAAACACAGACGACCCUGAUGAUCAGG